rnacentral:lncRNA from 1 species
AAUUGUCAAUCCCAGAUAGAUAAGAUCACCUUUACAUAAGAUCGUGAGAUCAUCAGCAAAUACCAAAUGAGUUAAUUUUGUUCCUUUACACAUUGGGUGAAACUGAAAGUCAUGCAGUUCACUUAUCUUACUCAGCAACCUGGACAGAUAUUCCAUCACCAGUACAAAUAAACCCUCCUUCCUUCAAAGUAUCCAUAGCCCUCUCCGUUCACUUUGACUGAGAAUUUUG